GACGAACGCUGGCGGCGUGCUUAACACAUGCAAGUCGAACGGAAAGGCCUGCUUUCCCUUGUGGAUUGCGGGUACUCGAGUGGCGAACGGGUGAGUAACACGUGAGUGAUCUGCCCCCAACUUGGGUAUAAGCCUGGGAAACUGGGUCUAAUUCCCGAUAGGACUGCAGGGUGGUGCCUGUGGUGGAAAACGAUUUUCUAGUGGUUGGGGAUGAGCUCGCGGCCUAUCAGCUUGUUGGUGGGGUAAUGGCCUACCAAGGCGGCGACGGGUAGCCGGCCUGAGAGGGUGGACGGCCACAUUGGGACUGAGAUACGGCCCAGACUCCUACGGGAGGCAGCAGUGGGGAAUAUUGCACAAUGGGCGGAAGCCUGAUGCAGCGACGCCGCGUGGGUGAUGACGGCCUUCGGGUUGUAAACUCCUUUCGACCGCGAGGAAGCCACCUGGUUGGAAGGGUGGUGACGGUAGUGGUAGAAGAAGCACCGGCUAACUACGUG
rnacentral:rRNA from 1 species